ACACAGGGCUGUAGGCAAGAGUUGCUUUGGGCUGUGGGGACAUCAGAUGGAGCUGUUACUGAUGGGGGUUGAGUGGAGAUCUCUCUGGUUGCUCUAUGGAAGGCUGAUGGUGGAAGGAGGAUUCUGGAGGUCUGCUGUGUGUGGGGAGGGGGUUCCAUCCAUGCCCCAAAUUUACUCAGUGGCUACAGGGUCUUGGGAAGUCACCCUCCCCAGUUUGUUUUCUUCUGCUCAUGUUUAGCUUAAGAGACCAUGAUUGCUCUCAGGGAGUUAUAUCUGCAUGUAUGUCUGCAUAGCAUGUACCUUCCUGGUACCUCUGGAAGCCAAAAGAAGGCCUCAGCUAUCCUGGAACUUGAGUUACAGAUGGUUGUGAGCCACCACAUAGGAAUGUUGGGAACUGAACCUGGGUCCUCAGGAAGACUGGCCAGUGUUCUUAACUGCUGAGUCAUCUCUCCAGCCUUGCACAGGGGAACAGCUGGAGGUUGCAAACAUGGUCGAGAAAGAACUCGCAGCUGAGACCCAUCUCAGGAGGAUCAUCUCCAGACAUCGAAGGGCAUCAUUAUCACGGAUAAGAACACAGAUGCUGGGGCUGGAGAGAUGGCGCAGAGGUUAAGAGCUGGCACUAAUCUUUCAGAGGACUGGAGUUUGGUUCCCAUCCCCAUGUUGGGCAGAUCAUGACGACCUGUGACUACAGCUUCAGAGGGCCUAGAACCUUCUUCUGGAGACCCUGCAUGCUCUGCCUUCAUGUGCUCCUUCCCCUAAGACACAGACGCCUUCCUAACCGUCUCUGGUGACAACAGGACAGGAACAUCACAGCUGUUUAUGUGCUAUGAUUUCCUAUGUGUGCACACAGGAAUAAGACUCUCUUGCCUUGCCCACAAACCACUCUUCACUCUUGGGAUGACCUUGCUCCAGCUGGGAUCAGAAGUUCUAGAGCAUUCUGGAAGAAAGAUGACUGCUUCCUGGGGAAGAGAAGGAAGAUUAGUCAACAUGACAUGGUUUAUCCUUUGUAUGGGAAGACAGGAUGAGAAAGCUGGCCUUGAAGGACUGCAUCAGACCCCCACUUCAAAGCUUCCACUGCUCUUCAGCUUGAAGACAUUAAAUUGCCCAUCUUCAGAA
rnacentral:lncRNA from 1 species